CAGCAGCCACGGGAAUACGAAGGGGGCUAGCGUUGCUCGGAAUGACUGGGCGUAAAGGGCGCGUAGGCGGAUUGUUUAGUUAGGCGUGAAAUUCCUGGGCUUAACCUGGGGACUGCGCUUAAUACAGGCAGUCUAGAGUGAGGAAGAGGGUUGUGGAAUUCCCAGUGUAGAGGUGAAAUUCGUAGAUAUUGGGAAGAACACCGGUGGCGAAGGCGGCGACCUGGUCCUUGACUGACGCUGAGGCGCGAAAGCGUGGGGAGCAAACAGGAUUAGAUACCCCGGUAGUCCCUGUCUCUUAUAC
rnacentral:rRNA from 1 species